rnacentral:rRNA from 1 species
UUGUCCUACGGGACGCAGCAGUGGGGAAUAUUGCACAAUGGGCGCAAGCCUGAUGCAGCCAUGCCGCGUGUAUGAAGAAGGCCUUCGGGUUGUAAAGUACUUUCAGCGGGGAGGAAGGGGGUAAAGUUAAUACCUUUGCUCAUUGACGUUACCCGCAGAAGAAGCACCGGCUAACUCCGUGCCAGCAGCCGCGGUAAUACGGAGGGUGCAAGCGUUAGUCGGAAUUACUGGGCGUAAAGCGCACGCAGGCGGUUUGUUAAGUCAGAGGAGAAAUCCCCGGGCUCAACCUGAGAACUGCCUC